GCAGGAAUGGUCUAGUUGGUUCAUGACGCGUCCUUCACACGGACGAGGUCGGGCGUUCGAAUCGCCCUUCUUGUA
rnacentral:tRNA from 1 species